AACGCGAAGAACCUUACCCAGACUUGACAUGCAGAGGACAGUCGCAGAAAUGCGAUCUCUCUUCGGAGUCUCUGCACAGGUGCUGCAUGGCUGUCGUCAGCUCGUGCCGUGAGGUGUUGGGUUAAGUCCCGCAACGAGCGCAACCCUUAUCAUUAGUUGCCAACAUUUCGGAUGGGAACUCUAAUGAGACUGCCUGGGUUAACCAGGAGGAAGGUGAGGAUGACGUCAAGUCCGCAUGGCCCUUACGUCUGGGGCUACACACGUGCUACAAUGGCCAGUACAGAAGGCAGCAAAACCGCAAGGUGAAGCAAAAUCCCUAAAAACUGGCCCCAGUUCAGAUUGUAGUCUGCAACUCGACUACAUGAAGCCGGAAUUGCUAGUAAUGGCGAGUCAGCACAUCGCCGUGAAUACGUUCCCGGGCCUUGUACACACCGGUACUA
rnacentral:rRNA from 1 species